rnacentral:ncRNA from 2 species
ACCUUUGAGGACGAAUUUGGAAAUCAAGUCCCUGCGAACGGCUUGAUGCAAGGGAAUCCGGUGAAAAACCGGAGCUGUUCCUGCAGCUGUAAUCCUCUUUGAAAGAUUCGCUCCAUCCAUAGAGUCACUGAGUAAUAACUUGGGAAGACGAGCCAAUCGAGGAGAGCCAGAAGACCUGCCAAGAUUCGAUCGAUCAG